GGGCUCGUAGCUCAGCGGUAGAGCGCCGCCUUCGCGAGGCGGAGGCCGCGGGUUCGAAUCCCGCCGAGUCCA
rnacentral:tRNA from 1 species